rnacentral:misc_RNA from 1 species
AACGCACAUUGCGCCCCUUGGUAUUCCGAGGGGCAUGCCCGUUCGAGCGUCAUUAUAACCCCUCAAGCCUAGCUUGGUGUUGGGGCCUGCUGUUGUCGGCAGUCCUUAAAAUCAGUGGCGGUGCCAUCUAGCUCUAAGCGUAGUAAUACUUCUCGCUACAGGGUCCCGGUGGAUGCUUGCUAUCAACCCUUAAAUUUCUAUGGUUGACCUCGGAUCGGGUAAGGAUACCCGCUGAACUUAA